CAGUCUGCAACUCGACUGCACGAAGCUGGAAUCGCUAGUAAUCGCGGAUCAGCACGCCGCGGUGAAUACGCUCCCGGGCCUUGUACACACCGCCCGUCACACCAUGGAAGUCUGCAAUGCCCGAAGCCGGUGGCCUAACCACUUAUGUGGAAGGAGCCGUCUAAGGCAGGGCAGAUGACUGGGGUGAAGUCGUAACAAGGUAAC
rnacentral:rRNA from 1 species